CAGGCCUAACACAUGCAAGUCGAACGGCAGCGCGGGAGCAAUCCUGGCGGCGAGUGGCGAACGGGUGAGUAAUAUAUCGGAACGUGCCCAUUAGUGGGGGAUAGCCCGGCGAAAGCCGGAUUAAUACCGCAUACGACCUGAGGGUGAAAGCGGGGGAUCGCAAGACCUCGCGCUAUUGGAGCGGCCGAUAUCAGAUUAGCUAGUUGGUGGGGUAAAGGCCUACCAAGGCAACGAUCUGUAGUUGGUCUGAGAGGACGACCAGCCACACUGGGACUGAGACACGGCCCAGACUCCUACGGGAGGCAGCAGUGGGGAAUUUUGGACAAUGGGCGCAAGCCUGAUCCAGCAAUGCCGCGUGCAGGAAGAAGGCCUUCGGGUUGUAAACUGCUUUUGUCAGGGAAGAAAUCCUUUGGGUUAAUACCUCGGAGGGAUGACGGUACCUGAAGAAUAAGCACCGGCUAACUACGUGCCAGCAGCCGCGGUAA
rnacentral:rRNA from 1 species